AUUGAACGCUGGCGGCAUGCCUUACACAUGCAAGUCGAACGGUAACGGGUCCUUCGGGAUGCCGGCGAGUGGCGAACGGGUGAGUAAUAUAUCGGAACGUGCCCAGUAGUGGGGGAUAACUGCUCGAAAGAGCAGCUAAUACCGCAUACGACCUGAGGGUGAAAGGGGGGGAUCGCAAGACCUCUCGCUAUUGGAGCGGCCGAUAUCAGAUUAGCUAGUUGGUGGGGUAAAGGCCUACCAAGGCAACGAUCUGUAGUUGGUCUGAGAGGACGACCAGCCACACGGGGACUGAGACACGGCCCAGACUCCUACGGGAGGCAGCAGUGGGGAAUUUUGGACAAUGGGCGCAAGCCUGAUCCAGCAAUGCCGCGUGCAGGAAGAAGGCCUUCGGGUUGUAAACUGCUUUUGUCAGGGAAGAAAUCUUCUGGGCUAAUACCCCGGGAGGAUGACGGUACCUGAAGAAUAAGCACCGGCUAACUACGUGCCAGCCGCCGCGGUAA
rnacentral:rRNA from 1 species